ensembl:snRNA U1 U1 spliceosomal RNA
UGGCGGGGGAGAUACCGUGAUCAAGAGGGCGGUUCACCCAGGGCGAGGCUCAGCCAUUGCACUUCGGCUGUGCUGACCCCUGCGAAUUCCCUAAAUGUGGGAAUCUCGACUGCAUGAUUUCUGGUAGUGGGGGACUGCAUUUGCGCUCUCCCCUG